rnacentral:rRNA from 1 species
UGCACCAGAAGUGGUUAGCCUAACGCAAGAGGGCGAUCACCACGGUGUGGUUCAUGACUGGGGUGAAGUCGUAACAAGGUAGCCGUAGGGGAACCUGCGGCUGGAUCACCUCCUUA